rnacentral:rRNA from 1 species
GACAGAGGUGCCAAGCGUUAGGCGGAAUCACUGGGCUUAAAGCGUGUGUAGGCGGAUGUCUAAGUACCUUGUGAAAUCCCACGGCUCACCGUGGAACUGCUUGGUAUACUGGAUGUCUUGAGCCAUCUAGGGGCUACCGGAACAAAUGGUGGAGCGGUGAAAUGCGUAGAUAUCAUUUGGAACGCCAAUGGUGAAAACAGGUAGCUGGGGAUGUGCUGACGCUGAGACACGAAAGCCAGGGGAGCGAACGGG